rnacentral:lncRNA from 1 species
GGAGGGCUAGGGGUUUUUAGCAUCAGAAUCAGUAACGAGUAAUUCUGUUUUGUGGAGUUGUGGCUCGUUAUGGACUCCAGACAGUGAGGAGUGUCCAUGCCCUGAUGAUUACCUGUGUGGGACAACAGUGAUGAUUCUCGUGUUUUCCUGUCCCCUGAGGAUGGCAUGCAGACACACUGUGGGGCUGCAGGAGGCCAGCCAUCCAGGUUAGAGGGUGAGGGUGACAGAAGCUGGGAAAUGAAAGAUGGGAUUGUUUUCUUGUCAUCCUGUACCCCUGCCACCUGGCGAUGGUGUUUCUGGAGAGUUACCUGGAAGUCGAUGGAUCCGUACAGAGAAGCCUGAGUUGGGGCAUCGGUGAAGACAGUGUUUCUCCAUGCUCCCAUUAUUCUUCCAGAACUGUUAGGAGUGGAAAUCAUUUCACCUUUGCACUUAGAAUAAAGCAACUCAGCAUUCACAGUAAAUUGCGUCCUGCAUACUCUUAG